CGUCGUACUGCCACUUGCGCAGGCCCAGCACGCCGCACAGCACGCGCCCCGUAUGGAUGCCCACUCGCAUGUUCAGCUGUACAUCAGUCGCUUCUACUACAGAUCUGAAACAAUAAUAGUAUGAGUUGCCUCUAUUCGUCAUGGACCCCAUCAUCAGAACUCGAACUAGACAAAAAAUUGCCUUAAAAAUCUAAUUUGCUUCACAAACACAGCGAAGAGGACAAAUCGCCAAACGUGAACUAUGCGUCGUUGAAGAGUUCCCUCAUCAUCAUCAGUUCCACUUCAUCAAUCGUCACUUUUUAAAUGUAUGCUCUUCACAUUUGAAGAGUUCCUCAUGGAUCCCAUCAUCAAGUCGGUUAAAAACGUUAUGUCCAUUAUGAGGUUCAAAUAUCAAUCACACGCGUGAGCCCUGAAGUUCCAAGUUCCCAUAGAAUGACUUUUCAACUAAAGUACAAUACCACUAUGCUACUAACGAGCAAGUUUUCUCAUCAAAGUGUUUAUCCUCAUCACCUUUUUGUUUCAAUACUUAUAAACUUUAUAAUAUUUACAAAGUCGGAUUUUAUAAUGACCAAUAAGUUAUUUUAGACGUACACUGCAGUGGUUAUAGAAGCGUUCUUUCGGUAGAACUAUUGUGGUAACUGAAUGGGUUUGAUGACUUUUAUGUCGAUACUAUUGACGCCGCGUAUUAGGACACGUCACGCAAUACAAUUAACUGACAAGCCCAGGAACAGUCCCGUGAAACUUAAAAUAUCAAUUUGGGUCAAGGACAAAAGCUUGUUUUACAAUACUGAGAAUAUAUCUCAAAAAUAAUCUUUAAAAAUCCUUAAUGAAGGACACGUACUAACGUAAGUCAUAAAGAAUAUGCGUUUAAAAAAUACUGAAAGACGUCUGAAGAAGUUUACCAAAUCGACAAGCACUUCCAAUUCCAACAAAACAAUAUAUUUUCAAGAUUAAGUAGGUACUAAAAGUCUUACUCUUCUAGUAUAUUUUACUACUCUUUCUAGUGACUUUCACUAAAAAAUUAACGGGCAUUUGGAUAAACAUGAAGAAGAUAGAUGUAUCAAUGUAGGUGGACUGCAUCCAUCUGUCUGAUUACUCGCACAUCUGAUCUAUUUAUUUAACUCAAUUUCAAACUGAACUAAAGAAUGUAAUCAAGGAAUCGUAAGUAAAACAAACUGCGCUAUCAACUGGCGAUUUCCUGCUUAUAAAUCAGAGUAUUUCAAACAGAAGCUUGGUCUGCCAUUCUUCAAACGGGUGAGGUUUCGAACGCGGACUAAUCGCUUGAAUUCUGUAAAUACCAGCCAGAUAAAGACGCGAUAACAGUACGAUGAUUUACAAUGCCAGUAAUUACGUAUAGCUACUUUAUCCAUUAUGGUUUUAAGUAUGUACCUAAUAUCGAAGAAAGUUCAUAAACACUGAAGACAUAAAGGAAGCACUAUCAAUUUCAUUUCGAGACUGUGGCCAUGACCGAUCGAAGGUCGACGGACAAAACGUCUGACAUAACUUCAAAAGCCAGAAACCUCAUAAAAUCAUGUGUGUAUUAUGCUUUCAAUGUAUUAACGAGAUCGUAGCGGUUAAUAAUUUAGAGUAUCAACAGCAGAACGCCUGCCCCGUUGGAUAUUUAUACGCAAAUAAUAACCAAAUAACGAAUACAGUUAUAUUGAUAAAAAGCGAAGUCAUCGCGCCUAAUGGAUGAAAGCUUCAUAAUCCAGACAGAAGGAAAUAAUUUAUUUUAUGCUUUGUUAAGCCUCUCUAAUACCAAACCUUUUUGCCAAAACAUCGAUUAGAGCCUACUCAAUUAUUUCGUGUUUAUUUUCACUUAAUCUAAUAACUUCCCUUUUUAUGUCGCAAGGUUAGUCUAACAACUUCCUGGUGUAACGGCGGGCCUAUUAAUAGGCUGAUACUUAUUAAUUACAAGGUAAUCUAACAAACUUAACGUUUACUUAUUUAUGAAUCGUGAUAAAUAAGCUCCAGUUAAUUUAGCUACGUAUUUUUACAGCCGCAACUGGGUUUACUGGCGACAAAUUAAUCGAGGUUAUAGCGUUUUUACGACCGUUUUGAUUCAUGAAAAGUGUAACGUCGGGAUGUCUGUUAUUAAUCGACACAAUGCCUGGCAUACGUUCGCUUAUUACUUUUAUGGUGUUUAGAAACAGUAUAACUAACUAUAGUACUUAUUUAUUGCUUCUACACAAUUGUUAUAUCCACUACAGUAAUGUACUAACUCGGGGCCGCCUUCUGAAAGCAUAAGCAAUAGGCAUAAGUUACCAAAUGAACGCAUGUAAAUUAAUUAAGUAGCUGAGCAAUUAACGUAACAUAAAUUAAUCAAGGCGCAGACUGGGCGCGCAUAAUUUUUCAUUAGGAGACGACGGCAGAUUCGCAGGACCGAAUUAAGAUUCUCGAGAUAACUAGCUUUAUUUCCCCUUUAGCGUUAAUUGCCAAAAAGUUAUUACUCCUUAACGAAACAAACCAAAUGUCUACUAAAUUGAAAUGGAUACCAAAAGCCGUAUUUAUUUUGAAAGCAUCGUUUCAGGAAUCGGUAAACGAUAAAAUUGUGGAGUAGGUUGAUUGUGGAAAUGAUCUAAUUGGGCAUUGUGUUGGAAUAUAGUAAAAGUAGGUCAACAAGAAUUAUUAGCCUACAAGACAGCCGUAUUCCGCUCCAGUGACUCCCUGUCAAUAGCACAGCCAGAGCCACGCUACCUGAAAGGAAACUCGAGCAAAUAUGGGUAAUCCGGACCUCUGUAAACUUAAUUAAUUUAAAUGUAUCAACUUUGUAUUUUAUCAUUUUAGAACUUUCUUUGUUGGAGGUUACAAAAUACUACGGACUGAGAAAACAAAUCAAGUUACUGUUGAAGCUCAGUUUUAUAUAUGAAUAUUUAUCGGGUACCGGAAUCCAAUAUCGGAGCGUCGAACCGCUUCUAACCCAAGACAAACUGGGAUUGUUUAAUAAUAUAUCUCUGCCUACAAACUCCAGUAAGCUACAAAUUUGUAUUGAAGAUCGGUUACUAAGUUCAAUCUCAAAAGGUAAACUAUUUUAAAAGUAUGUAGCAAUAUCAAUUACUAUAAUAUGUGUAAUAAGCCCAAUAAAAUAAACAUCCCGUUAAGUGUAAACUAAAUACUAUGCUGAGUGAGUAAUUGGCUCGCCAAAUAGGGCUUAAGUAGGUAAACAACUACGAUUGAUACGCAAUUUGUACCCAGUAGUUGUAAACGCACUGAUGUGAUGUGCCUAACUAAAUUGAAUUAUAAUCCUAGACCGACGAGAGCCGAUCCGCAGCCCCACAGACGCCGCCUAACACAAUUAUGAUAUGUUAAUUUCGCUUUGUCAUAAUCAUAACUGCUACGAAAAACUUGCAAAGUCAAGCCGGGAAACAGAUGUUUUGUCUUACAGGGAUUUAACGGAAGUCAAUUACUGAACCACUUUUUCACUUAACCCUUUUCCAGGCCGCACCAAUCUACAAGGUUUCCCAAAAAAUCCAAAUAUAUUCCAAUUAAUCCAGCUUUGAUGAUUCAUUUGAAGACAAGUAACAUUUCCUGAAGGUGUAGUCUAAUUUGAACCUUAAAUCGGAAUGCUAAAGUUGAAAUUCUAAUGGCACGUAUGUGAGCGAUAAAUCGUACUAUGCCUGGAAAAGGGUUAAGGUUUGUUGAAGAAAACCUUUGAGAUGGAUAAGGUUGCGCUAUUUCUGUGCCGGAAAUUUGUGUUUUAAUGUAAUAAGUGGACGCGAAUGUAACAUCACAAACACUGAAUAUGGGGCAUAUUAGUUUGCCUUUUUGAGCCCUCCUCUCGUUCCGACACAUGUCAGAUACGGCAACCACCCCUGAAUAUGGAAUUACUCGGAUCACUUGCUCUUGGGACGAAACGAAAACUUGUUUGACACACUGAUCUACGUUAUUUGAUGUCGUAUUACGAAACAAACAUUAAAGGGCCACUUUAGCCGGGUCGGGAGUGAACCCUUCCCUUAGAAACUUGUUAGUUAAGGAAGGAACUAACAUUUCAGUAAUUUAAUUGAUUGGUAUGCUUAUACGAGUAUAAUAAAUUUGUCGCCUAGGACUAGGGUUUCUUCUCGAGAAUUUUCGAGGCGAGAAAUUUGUACUUUGUCGAGACGGGAAAAAAAAUUCAAUGACUCGAGAACUUGAGAAAUAAAUCUCGUGUGAUAAGUAAAAAGAAAACACGGGUAUAACACGUGAUGUGUCUAAAGUGUAUUUCUUUAUGUAGUUAAAUAAAUGUAAACAAUGUUUUUUUUUUUUAAUUUUCAGUUACUUAAAACAUUUAUUAGUUAACCAUCCAAAUAAAAAAACUGCCUCGAUCCGUCCCCUAUCGUUCUGGCUUCUUCUUGCAAUUUUCAUGAUUUGAAACUUUUGAACUUAACUACUACCCUCUAAUGUCUAAAGAAUUCGUCUCGUUUUAGAUUCAUUACUAGGUUACUUCUUUUUUAAUCGUAUAUGAUUCAUAAUUGUUCCAUAUUUGCUUCGGCUUAUUUUUUAAGUGUUUUUCAAUAAAAUUACAUGUCAGGA